CGCGGUUAUACAAAUCAUUUUGAGUAAAUUUUUAUUGGUUUAUAUUUAUUUUUAUUUUUAUUAUAAAUUUUGGAUGUUAUUUGGUGGAAUAAUUAAUUUUUAUUAUUAUAUGAGUUUAGGAUUAUAUAUUAAAUCUAUAUUAUAGACUAGGAUUAGAUACCCUAUUAUUAUUAGUUGUAAAUUAGUAACCAUAUUAUUAAUAGUUAUAUUCUUUAAAUUAAAAGAACUUGGCGGUAAUUUAAUCUUUCCAGAGGAACCUGUCCUUUAAUUGAUAUUCCACGAAGUAUAUUACUUUAAUUUUAAGCUUGUAUACCUCUGUUGAUGAAUGUUUUGUAAGAAUAUUUUCUAUGUUUAAUUUUAUAUUUAAUGUUAGGUCAAGGUGCAGCAAUAUUAAAGUAGUGAUGGGUUACAUUAUUAAUAUAUUUGGAUUAAUAAAUUGAUAUUUAUUAUGAAAUAGGAUUUGGUAGUAAAUUCUUUUAUCUAUUAGGGUUGAUUUUUGCUCUAGAUUAUGUACAUAUCGCCCGUCACUCUCGUUUAUAUACGGGAUAAGUCGUAACAAAGGUAGUUUUACUGGAAAGUGAAGCUGGAUAAU
rnacentral:rRNA from 1 species